rnacentral:rRNA from 1 species
AACGCUAGCUACAGGCUUAACACAUGCAAGUCGAGGGGCGGCAUGAUUGAAGCUUGCUUCAAUUGAUGGCGACCGGCGCACGGGUGAGUAACACGUAUCCAACCUUCCGUACACUCAGGGAUAGCCUUUCGAAAGAAAGAUUAAUACCUGAUGGUAUCUUAAGCACACAUGUAAUUAAGAUUAAAGAUUUAUCGGUGUACGAUGGGGAUGCGUUCCAUUAGGUAGUAGGCGGGGUAACGGCCCACCUAGCCUACGAUGGAUAGGGGUUCUGAGAGGAAGGUCCCCCACAUUGGAACUGAGACACGGUCCAAACUCCUACGGGAGGCAGCAGUGAGGAAUAUUGGUCAAUGGACGAGAGUCUGAACCAGCCAAGUAGCGUGAAGGAUGAAGGUCCUACGGAUUGUAAACUUCUUUUAUAAGGGAAUAAAACCUCCCACGUGUGGGAGCUUGUAUGUACCUUAUGAAUAAGCAUCGGCUAACUCCGUGCCAGCAGCCGCGGUAAUACGGAGGAUGCGAGCGUUAUCCGGAUUUAUUGGGUUUAAAGGGAGCGCAGACGGGUCGUUAAGUCAGCUGUGAAAGUUUGGGGCUCAACCUUAAAAUUGCAGUUGAUACUGGCGUCCUUGAGUGCGGUUGAGGUGUGCGGAAUUCGUGGUGUAGCGGUGAAAUGCUUAGAUAUCACGAAGAACUCCGAUUG